GGGGGUGCACCGGUUUCGACAGGAAGGAGAAAUCUUGUGCUGCAGGUGGGCGUGAAGGUGCCCUGAACUGACAAAAUAAUAACUGCAAAACGUAGAGAAGACGAAGAGUCUUACAACGAACAGUUAGCACUCGCUGCUUAAGCAGUGCCGGAACUUCAGUUGUGCUGUUCCUAACAGCUGGAUGUUCUGUCACAAACAGGGACUUGCUCUGCAUUAUGUUCGGGUUCUGCAGGGGACUUUAUCCGGAAUAAGGAGACGACGCCUUUGAAGCCGCUACCGUUUCCCGACAACUACCUCGCUUCAAUAAACCUGUAGAGGCGCCUGGUUUGCCUACUUGGACGCGAGUUCAACUCUCGCCAUCUCCA
rnacentral:tmRNA from 1 species